CCAAUAGCGUAUAUUAAAGUUGUUGCAGUUAAAAAGCUCGUAGUUGAAUUUCGGGAUCAAUUUAUUGGUCGUGCAAUAGUACGUACUGGUAUUAUUGGUUCCUACCUUCUGAUGAACCAUGAUGUCAUUAAUUUGGUGUUAUGGGGAAUCAGGACUGUUACUUUGAAAAAAUUAGAGUGUUUAAAGCAGGCUCACGCUUGAAUACAUUAGCAUGGAAUAAUGAAAUAGGACGUUUGAUUCUAUUUUGUUGGUUUCUAGGAUCGACGUAAUGAUUAAUAGGGAUAGUUGGGGGCAUUAGUAUUCAAUUGUCAGAGGUGAAAUUCUUGGAUUUAUUGAAGACUAACUACUGCGAAAGCAUUUGCCAAGGAUGUUUUCAUUAAUCAAGAACGAAAGUUAGGGGAUCGAAGACGAUCAGAUACCGUCGUAGUCUUAACCAUAAACUAUGCUGACUAGGGAUCGGAUGAUGUUAAUUUUUUAAUGACUCAUUCGGCGCCUUACG
rnacentral:rRNA from 1 species